UGCGAGUCUAUGGACUUCGGUCCAUGGCGGACGGCUCAGUAACACGUGGUUAACCUACCCUUAGGUGGGGGAUAACCUUGGGAAACUGAGGAUAAUACCCCAUAGGAAAAGAGGUUUGGAAUAAUCCUUUUCUGAAAGGACAUCCGCCUAAGGAUGGACUGCGUCUGAUUAGGUAGUUGGUGGGGUAAUGGCCCACCAAGCCUACGAUCAGUACGGGCCUUGAGAGAGGGAGCCCGGAGAUGGGGACUGAGACACGGCCCCAGGCCCUACGGGGCGCAGCAGGCGCGAAACCUCCACAAUGCACGAAAGUGCGAUGGGGGAAUCCCAAGUGCCUAUGUAAAACAUAGGCUUUUCCCAAGUUUAAACAACUUGGGGAAUAAGGGCUNGGCAAGUCCGGUGCCAGCCGCGGUAACACCGGCGGCCCAGUG
rnacentral:rRNA from 1 species